rnacentral:lncRNA from 1 species
UAGAUAUUUUUCUGCCUCAUUUACUAAAAUAAAUAAAAUAGUUAAAUAGUUAUUCGGGUUUUUCCAAUCAAGAUGCUGCUUCUUACGUAUCCUUUCUUUUUAUUUUCUUUUCUCUAAUAUCUUUUGGAGGACUGUGAUAUGAAAGAAAGAUCAUCGGACUACAAGGUAAAGGAUAAAUCUGAGACACAGAUUUGCUCUUUUCUAACUGGGUGACCUUUUGAGCAAGUUAUUUCACUUCUCUGGCCUAAGUAAAAAUGGGAUAUUGGAUAAGAUGUUUCCAGAAAUCCCUUACUUCUAAGGUUCUAUGAUCUCCACUGGAGAUGGGCUAAAUUUUCCUACUACUCCCCUGGUCAAAAACCUAAAAUGAUUCUCUGCAGUCUACUAUAUCAAACAAUAAACUGCUAUACCAGCUCACCACAAUUAGUCCUCACCCAGGCCUCUGUCCAUGACUUACUUUUAAUGUGCUUCCUCUAUCUCAGGUAUGUGGCACGCGCCAUCCUCUAGCCAGAUGUGACACUUUCUCAUGCCACUGCUCUCCUAGGUCAUGCAGGUAUGCCUCUCACUCACUCCAACCAAACCUCGCCCUCCUGGCCUGCAGAGGUACAUCUCCUUGAGACCUCCUCAGACCACCUUGGCCCACCUUGACUUUCUCAGAUUCUAAGUGGCUCAGUGAAAUUAAGGAGAAGAUGGAUUUAUUUAAAAAUAGAGUUAAGAGGAGAUGAUAACAAGAGAAGAAAUGAAAAGGAAGCUGGCAGAACCAAGAAAAGAUGUUAAGGAGAAAAAUAAAACCAUUGCGCAACUGAAGACCGCAUUUCUGGAGGCUAGAAGUCCAAAUUCAACUUUAUUGGGCUGAAAUCAAAGAGUCAGGAGGAUACCUGUGAUGGCAUUUAGGCCCACCUGGGUGAGCCAGGACACUCUCUCCAUCUCAAGAUCCUUACUUGAAUCACAUCUGCAAAGCCCUCUUUCUGCCAGGCAAGAAGCAGGAUUGCAGGCCACCUUUUGCAGGCCCAGCCCAGGUUUGGAACAAGGCUUCCUCUGCAAAAGCUGGAUGCUGUGAGCUCUGUCAGCUGCAAUGCUCUACCCCACACCUGCCUGGGUUUCCGGAGUGCAUACUCUAUUUGGGAGCAAUGCCUGCCUUGAACUCCAACAGUAUUUUGUCAGCAUCUUUCCCCAAAGACUAAACUCUACAGCCUAUAUCAAGUAUCAGCCACUGGAGAAAGCCGAGAAAUGGAGAAAUUGAGAAACUUGGCAACACAUCCAGUAAAGAGCUGAAGCUUUUAUAACAGCACAAUACAGGAACAAAAAGGAUAGCUUUGGGGAAUGCCAGCCUUUCCAAGGUCUUCAGUCAACUGAUGAGACCCACCCACAUUAGGGAGCAUAGUCUGCUGUACUCAGUCUACCAAUUCAGCUAUGAAGCUCCUCCAGAAACUCCCGCACAGCCACAUCCCAAAUAAUGUUUGGCCAAAUGUCUGGGUACCCUGUGGCCCGGUCAAGUGGACACAUGAAAGUCACCAUCACAGUGGGGUCCUCAAGGAAAGGAAUGAAAGAGACAAUCCAGCUUUGCAUUUAGCACUGAUGCAAUGGCCUGUGAAACCAGACGUGACAAACGUGGCAAGUAGAAGUGUCACAGACAUAAAUUUGAGCAUUUCUCAGAUUUUUCUUUGCCUGGAGUUUGAUCUCAAUAGUCAUUCAAUUUGUCCCUUAGGACAAAUUUAUUUUCUCUCUUUCUUCUCUCCUCAUUCUCCUCCAUCACCAUUAUCAUCAUCAUUGUCACUGUCAUAAUCAACAUCCAAAGUGUAUGGAGUGCCUGCACUCACGUGGCUCUGUACCAAGAAGGAAUUUGGAAUUCAUGGAGGAA